CCUUCUGGAGCUCGGAGAGGCCGGCAGUUUCUGCGCAACACGGAACCAGCAACUUUUGUUUUCACUGACAUGUAGUUUCAAUAGUCAUAAUCUUUCUCAAUCUUUUCGUACCGUUCUGUGGUCGGCCUCAAUUUACCAUGUGGUAUUUCACUUACAUUAUUCAGUGCUCCAAGACGAGUGUUCGGCAUUAUACGCAUCCUGAGUGGCCAUAACAGCUCGGGGGGCCCUACUGCGUUGACCCGCUACCUCUAGCCACAAGGCCGAACCUACCCUGAGAUCCCGAACAAGGUAAAUAUUUACUUGGGCGGUAUUUCCGAAAAAAAAUGUUAAAAAUCUGAAAAUACCUUUAUUUUAUGCUCUUCAACUUCCUCUUUUCAUUAAAAUCGGCGGAGAUUAGAAAUUCCAAAUACUUUAGGAGAUAUCGAAUUUUUAAAUUUCUUCAUAUGUAGUUGAGCGGUAUUUGCGAAAAAAAAUGUUAAAAAUCCGAAAAUACCUUUAUUAUAUGCUCUUCAAAUUCCUCUUUUCAUUAAUAGCGGCGGAGAUUAGAAAUUCCAAAUACUUUAGGAGAUAUCGAAUUUUUAAAUUUCAGCACAAAACCAGCGCAUUCCUGUGGCGUGCGUGCACCAUUGUUUCUUGUUUACGUACGAGUAUCUAUUUUUUUAUUGGAUAAUGAUGUCACGUGAUUGUUCGUGAUAGCCCAGAAUUCAAAUGAACUAAUACGUGAUUAUUUAGUUCAAUUAUUGUUUAAAACGGUGUUUAAUUACCGCCUCCAAAUUAGGUGAGUUUUUUACGUUUCUAAUUUUAAAGUCUUAUUUGUUAUUUUGAUAUUGUUGCGCAAGUAAUAAGUAACAAAAAAAUUUACGUGAGUUGUUACUGUACAUCCUUUGUUACAGGUUUGUUAGGUAAGGUCAGUUACAUUAUAAAUAAUUUAAAACUAAAGAAUAAUUAAAAUUAAUUCACAUUAUUUUUAAUAUCACCUUAGUUUGAAAGUAUUUAUAAUGUAACUGACCUGACCUAAUCGACCAUUUUAGUUUACUGUUCACCCUCUGUCCGGGUUUGUUUGGUCAGGUCAGUUACAUUAUAAAUAUUUUAAAACUAAACAGCCAUUAAAAUUAAUUCACAAAAUAAUUUUUAAUGUCGGCUUAGUUUGAAAGUAUUAAUAAUGUAACUGACCUGACCUAAUCAACCAUUUUAUUAAUUACGCAUUCACGAUUCACGUAUUCAUGAACACACGGCAAAAUAACAAAAAUGGCGCCGCUCGAAAGUUCUACAGGUCUUGUAUUGCAAAAUUAAAAAUUUCGAUAUCUCCUAAAGUAUUUGGAAUUUCUUAUCUCCGCCGCUUUUAAUGAAAAGAGGAAGUUGAAGAGCAUAUGAUAAAGGUAUUUUCGGAUUUUUAACAUUUAUUUUCGCAAAUACCGCUCAACUACAUAUGAUGAAAUUUAAAAAUUCGAUAUCUCCUAAAGUAUUUGGAAUUUAUUACUUCCGCCACUUUUAAUGAAAAGAGGAAGUUUAAGAGCAUAAAAUAAAGGUAUUUUCGGAUUUUUAACAUUUUUUUUUUCGGAAAUACCGCCCAAGUAAAUAUUUACCUAACAUAUAAGUUCAUGAACAUAUCUAUUUUUUUUUUCCUGUUUUAUACGCAUUAAUUUAAGGAAUUGACUUAGGCUGUUGUUGCACGAUGGAAUUUCUGUGUUUUUAAGGUGUGUACGAUAAUUAUGGUACAAUCCGGUAAUUUUUCAAAUACGAAUCUCAGAUUCUAAUCUAAUUCAUCCUCAGUGGAACUAACGACUACCUCUCUUGGUGGUCGAGGCCCAUUGACCAAUUGUAGAAUAGGCAAUGGAGCGGGAUCGUUGGUAUAUAGAACUGGCCACCAUGGACGGGGGUCUCAAGCAUGGGCGUAUAUAAGGGGGGGGGGGGGGGGGGGUUCAGGGGGUCCAGACCCCCCGCCCCCCUUAGCAUACGACAUAAUUAAAAUUAGCAGAAUAUUGAUGACGGAUAAUAUAAUCUGUGCCACAAAAUAUGAGCAUGCGUCAAAACAAUGAACUACCUAUAUAUGCUAGGUGGACACUGCGCCUUGCACAUACCCCCUCUCGACUUCUGCGCACCAUUCAUACUGCGCCUGCGCCGCACCCGUCUCCCGCGCGACGCGCUUACUGCGCAUGCGCACAACAGUCGAGUCUCGCGACCUUGAUAGAACCACGCGCCUUCACCAGCCAACAUGUUUUUUCAAGCCAUAUUUUGUGGUUUUUUAAAUAUCUACUAUUGAAUAAAAAUUUAUUAUGAAACUGUCAUCAAACCAAGUAUCACUUUUGGAUUUUUUUGAAAAAAAAAGGAGAGAGUGAAAUCCCACCUUGAAGAAGUAGACUGACUGCUCGACUGGAAAAUCUGUCAUCCGAGAAGAUUUUUUAUAAUUUAUCAACUUAGAAGAUGUUUCAGCUCAAGCGUUAGAGAAGACUAUUAUAACGCAUCUCUUAAGCUAUAAUUUGGACAUGGAUAAAUUUAUUGGGCAAGGGUUUGAUGGUGCUGCAGUGAUGAGUGGUCGCUUACGAGACGUGAGAACAAUUAUUGCAUAACAAUACCCAAAAGCGCAAAUCGUACACUGUGUGGCUCACGUUCUGAAUUUGGUUCUAGUGCAUUCAAGUGAGGUACCUAUGAUAAGAAACUGUAUCGGAACCAUAAAAAGUAUAGUAAACUUUUUUUCAUCAAUUUCCACUUAGAGUCAGUCUUAUGAAGAAAAUUGCGCAUCAAAAUAACUCAUCUCAUUCAAUGCUUAUCGCUCUUUGUGAGACGCGAUGGACAGAAAAACAUGUGGCUGUUGAGAGAUUCGCAGAAAUGCUUCUAAUAGUACGCACAGCACUUGAAACACUUCAGGAUUCUACUAAUAGAAAUGUCAGCACUGAAGCAUACCAACUGCAAACAGCUAUGGAAAACAGCCAAUUCAUCGUGUCAUUAGUUGUACUGAGAAAAGUAUUUUCAUAUACAGUAAAUCUAAAUAAGGCAAUGCAAAAGAUCAAUGCCUAUUUGACCAAAAUUUGCAGUUAUGUAAAAACAAUAAAAUUACUUUACAAAAUAUUCGGAAUGAAAACGAGAUCGCGAUCCUUUUUGAGCAGGCAAAAAAUUUCAGUUUAAACGACAUAAAUGUUCCAAGAACGACUGGAAGGCAAACUCAGCGCAGUAAUGUUCCAGGAGAAACUGCUGAGAUAUAUUAUUGUCGAAAUGUAUUUUACCCUUUCAUUGACCAUGUGAUUACAAAACUUGAUGCACGCUUUAAACCACAUGAAAAAACAAUAGAAGUGAUUCAAAUGCUUCUGCCUGAGAAGAUCAAUAAGGAUCCAGGAUAAGCGGAAGGCUUAAAAAAAUAGCACUAUUAUUUUUGGGAGAAACUGAGGCAAAUAAUUUUUCAAGUGAGUAUGAAAUAUGGCAGAAUCAUUGGGAACAUAUGGCGAAAAAACCAUCCACCACACUAGAAAGUCUAGAUAAGUGCGAGAAUCAAUUUUUUUUACUAUAAAAAAGCUGAUCACUACUUUGGCCACACUCCCAGUGUCCACAGCAACCCCAAAAAUAUGUUUUCAACCCUCAAGAGGUUAACAAACUACUUGAGAAACAGCAUGGGAGAUGAACGACUAACUGGGCUUGCGUUGAUGAGAGUUCAUCGUGACAUAGUUUCUGAACUGAAUUCUGAUGAAAUCAUAAAUAUGUUGGCCACAAGACGUAAAAUGCUAAAUUUAAUACUUUGAAGUUUUCAAUUUUUUAACUUUUUACCUCUAAUUUAUUAUUUUAUUUUGAAGGUUUUUCUAUGUCAAAUGUUUUAAUUGAUUGUAGUAUUUUUUUAUGUCAAAAUGUUUUAUGUUGAUUGUGCAAUACGAAAAUAAAUAAAAUCCGAAGCAUCACAAAGAUUAAAUAAAAA